CGUUAUGGCGGCUGUGCGCGGGGCAUCUUCGGAUGCGCCGGGUUCCUAUAGUCCCGGUCUGCUAACCUGCGUACAGUCCGCCUCCAUU
rnacentral:antisense_RNA from 1 species